UACAUGUUCAUAACAAAACUGAAUAUUAUGUAGUGACUGAAAGUUGAAAGUAAUAAGUAUUACUUGUGUAGAUAAUGGAUACGAAAGCAGUCCUCCUCCAUCACUGGAUGUUUCGUUUGAUUUGGAUGACUCACUUGAGGAUCCACCUUAUUUUGCUUCAGAUGUGUCUGAUCAGAAUUAUGAUUUAAGUUCUUAUACCGCUGAAGUUAAUUCGAACGAAUAUUUUUUACUCCCAUGCACCAUGACAAAGGAAUCACAAACUUAUACCGACUCUUCCAAAAUAGACAAAAUAGUUGAUGUUGAUUUAGAAAAAGAUUCUAAUCCUUUGGAACCACAAGUUUAUUCAAAACCUAAAACUGACAAGAUAGGUGGUGUUGGUUCGGAAAAAGCUGGUGAUACUUUG